rnacentral:rRNA from 1 species
AGGCUUAACACAUGCAAGUCGAGGGGCAGCGGGGAGUAGCAAUACUUCGCCGGCGACCGGCGCACGGGUGAGUAACACGUGUGCAACCAACCCCGUACCGGGAGAUAACCCGCGGAAAGUCGGACUAACAUCCCAUAAGACUCUAGAGCCGCAUGGCUCUGGAUUUAAAAUUCCGGUGGUACGGGACGGGCACGCGCGACAUUAGGUAGUUGGCGGGGUAACGGCCCACCAAGCCGACGAUGUCUAGGGGUUCUGAGAGGAAGGUCCCCCACACUGGAACUGAGACACGGUCCAGACUCCUACGGGAGGCAGCAGUGAGGAAUAUUGGUCAAUGGGCGCGAGCCUGAACCAGCCAAGUCGCGUGAGGGAAGAAUGGUCCAUGGCCUGUAAACCUCUUUUGUCAAGGAAGAAUAAAUUGCACGUGUGCGAUCUUGCCAGUACUUGACGAAUAAGCAUCGGCUAACUCCGUGCCAGCAGCCGCGGUAAUACGGGGGAUGCGAGCGUUAUCCGGAUUUAUUGGGUUUAAAGGGCGCGUAGGCGGGACGCCAAGUCAGCGGUAAAAGACUGCAGCUAAACUGUAGCACUGCCGUUGAAACUGGCGCCCUCGAGACGAGACGAGGGAGGCGGAACAAGUGAAGUAGCGGUGAAAUGCUUAGAUAUCACUUGGAACCCCGAUAGCGAAGGCAGCUUCCCAGGCUCGAUCUGACGCUGAUGCGCGAGAGCGUGGGUAGCGAACAGGAUUAGAUACCCUGGUAGUCCACGCCGUAAACGAUGCUCACUGGAUCUUGGCGAUACACCGCCAGGGUUCAAGCGAAAGUAUUAAGUGAGCCACCUGGGGAGUACGUCGGCAACGAUGAAACUCAAAGGAAUUGACGGGGGCCCGCACAAGCGGAGGAACAUGUGGUUUAAUUCGAUGAUACGCGAGGAACCUUACCCGGGUUUAAAUGUAUUUUGCAUGAGGUGGAAACACUUCUUCCCUUCGGGGCUAGAUACAAGGUGCUGCAUGGUUGUCG